rnacentral:rRNA from 1 species
CCUACGGGUGUCAGCAGUGAGGAAUAUUGGUCCAUGGACGCGAGUCUUAACCAGCCCAGUAGCGUGAAGGAUGCCUGCCCUAUGGUUUGUAACCUUCUUUUAUAUGGGAAUAAAAUGUUCCCAGUGUGGGACUUUGUAUGUACCAUAUGAAUAAGUAUCGGCUAACUCCGUGCCAGCAGCCGCGGUCAUACGGAGGAUCCUAGCGUUAUCCGGCUUUAUUGGGUUUAAAGGGAGCGUAGUUGGAGUGUUAAGUUAGUUGUGAAAGGUUGAGGCGCAACCGUAAAAUUGCAGUUGAAACUGGCAGUCUUGAGUACAGUAGAGGUUGGCGGAAUUAGUGGUGUAGCGGUGAAAUGCUUAGAUAUCACGAAGAACUCCGAUUGCGAAGGCAGUUCACUGGACUGCAACUGACGCUGAGGCUCGAAAGUGUGGGUAUCAAACAGGAUUAGAUACCCCUGUAGUC